ensembl:ncRNA K12H6.14 ncRNA
GCAUUUGAAGUUGAUGGCCUAACUUUUGCAAACUUGGAUUUCUAGGCCACCAAA